GCAUAUCAAUAAGCGGAGGAAAAGAAACUAACAAGGAUUCCCCUAGUAACUGCGAGUGAAGCGGGAAGAGCUCAAAUUUAAAAUCUGGCGGUCUUUUGGCUGUCCGAGUUGUAUUCUGGAGAAGUGCUUUCCGCGCUGGACCGUGUAUAAGUCUCUUGGAACAGAGCGUCAUAGAGGGUGAGAAUCCCGUCUUUGACACGGACUACCAGUGCUUUGUGAUGCGCUCUCAAAGAGUCGAGUUGUUUGGGAAUGCAGCUCAAAAUGGGUGGUAAAUUCCAUCUAAAGCUAAAUAUUGGCGAGAGACCGAUAGCGAACAAGUACCGUGAGGGAAAGAUGAAAAGCACUUUGGAAAGAGAGUUAAACAGUACGUGAAAUUGUUGAAAGGGAAACGCUUGAAGUCAGUCGCGUUAGCCGGGACUCAGCCCUGCCUUUCGCUUGGUGUAUUUUCCGGUUGACGGGCCAGCAUCGACUUUGACCGCUGGAUAAGGGUUAGGGGAAUGUGGCACCUCCGGGUGUGUUAUAGCCUCUGGUCGUAUACAGUGGUCGGGAUCGAGGACCGCAGCCUUUUGGGCUUAGGAUGCUGGCGUAAUGGCUUUAAACGACCCGUCUUGAAACACGGACC
rnacentral:rRNA from 1 species